GAGAGAGAGAGAGAGAGAGAGAGAGCUCCAAAACCCAGCUCUUUUGCUCCAGAAAGCCACUUCUUUUAAUAAGACUGGACCCUGCAGGUGAACUCGAUCUGGGUGCUGGGGGCCCUGGUGAAGAUCCCAUUGGUACAGCAGCAGGGAUCCUGAGUUGAAGGUGACAGCAAACUCCAUCUUGAUGUUGCCAUGAUUUCACAAAGGGUUCCAAAUGCCACUUCAGAGCUGAAUAGCCCUGUGUGCUGGAGGUUGUGGUAAGCAUAAGGCAGUGUCUAAGAACUUUGUCAUUCUCAACUGUGAAAUGGACCUAGUUGUCAUUGCUAUGUCUGCCUGGAUGGUGUACUUUGGAAAAUAAGUAAAUGUGAAGACAUUUGAACCCUGCACUAGAAUGCUGAUGAGGGGCUGGCCUGGACUCAGUGUGCACAAUGGAUUCUCUUGAAGCAGAGUUCAAAGUUGCUUCGUGAAAAUGGAACACUAAAAGAGCGGGUGACAAAACAAUGUACCCUAACCCAUAUAGCCAGUACACUCACUCCAUGUAGGAGCCAUACUGAAAUUGUCUGCUCAGCCUGGACUGGAUGAUGACAGGAUCUCUUCCUAAACCAGAGCUCAACCACUGGUUAGACUGGCUCUCCAGGAAACUCCCUGGAUUCUCCACCUCCCCACUUUGACGGUGGCAGACUCCCACUUCUGGAUGUAAGGCCCAAAGCAGACAUCUUUCUCCUCUUCAGCCAAAGCUUGCAACCUUUGCAAGAGUGAUCUGGAAAGCAAACACCCUGCUUGCCACUUGUUUCCCUCCUGUGUAUGCUGUUUGAUGGUUCAGAUUCAGCGGUUCAUGUUCCCUAAGGACAAACAGCAAGCAAAGCAUAUGAAUAAAUAAGUGCUCAACAUUUUGAAUGCAUGAACUUUGUUAUGCUUUUUGCAAUGAUGAUGACAGACAUUUUGCAAUCGAUUUUUAAGAGAGAUUUUGCACCAUUUGACAUAAUCUGAUGCCGUUACUGAUGUUUGAAGAUUCCUGCAUUUUUCCUGGGAUAAAGAUGUAUGUGCAAACUUAAAUAAUGGUGGUGAUGCUCUCUGCUAGUGAAUCUUAGGACUAUAAUUCCCUUAAUUGAAUUCAUUGAUCAUGCUCCCUUAAAAUAUUUCAUAUAAAUUAAAUACAAAGUAAUACUUAUUUUCUGUUCACCUUAUACUUUCUGUUGUAUUUUUCCCACAGAUCACGUUGUAUGCUCUAUCUUUAAAUUAAUCUUUAUUUUUACAUAAAAUUGACUUUUGUAUCAUUAUUCUGAUCUUAUGAAAUAUUUUAAUGUAUAGAUACUACAAAUUGUGACUAAAGGAAAAAUAAUUUUGCCUAACACAUUUGAUUUUAUCUUUCUCGAUAUAUAAAGAUUAUUGCCAUAUAUUUAUCACAUAUUAA